CCUCGAGCCCUGCAGCCCGGCGAAAUGGCUCCCGGCGGGGCCGUUUGCGCAUGCCCAGUCAUGACGGUUGUCGGCGCGGGCCCUAGCGUGGCGGCGCUGCAGUCUGGGCAGUGGGUUGGUUCCUCCUCGGUCCUCUGUCGAGUGGCGACAGGGCCUAGCCACCUGGCGGGGGUGACCUUCGGACGUGCGACCCGCUCGGAGAAGGGAGGGAACUGUGGCCCGCAACAAAGCAGUGACAGGCCCGACAUCCCCUGCAGGGCGAUCUUUCCCUCAGCUGCCUGCCGGAGGAAGGGCCUUUCUGUUUCACAGGGCUAAAGAUGGGGCGCGGUUCCUCCACGGGGCGGCUGCCGGGUGAACGGAACGGGGAUGGAGGCGCUGCCAGAAGAGCCCGAGCUCGAGCCCGCCCUGCCCUCGGCCUCCCCGCCGCGCCGCUCCGCAGGAGCCCCGCUCCUCUCCUGCUCGCUCCGGAGAACCCCAGUCCGGCCUGACCUCGGCCCUCGCGGUCAGGCGCUCCAACCAGAGCGACUCCAGCUCGAACAGCGCUGGGUAAACUGAGGCUGAACCCCGCUGGCUGCAUCCCCAGGAGUCGGGCGUUUACGGUCACGGGAACAGGUUAAUAAACUUUUACGCAGCAGACCCGGAACUUAGGUCCCGAUGUCCGGGUAUCUUAAGAACAAGAAGCAUUCUUAGUUGAAGUUUCGCUUUAAAGAUAAUGAUACAGAUGCUUGCGGAGGACAGGCGUUAUGCAAAGAUUGGCAAUCCUUUGACGAGCCCAGGUAGUACAGCACGUCUCCCCCGUGAUGUUUUUUGGCUUUUAUCUUACAUAUAAACAAGCGUACCCAGGUGGACGCCUUCCUCCUCGUGCUUUUGGGAACACCCUGCUCUAUGGAGUAGCCAUUCUUUUAUUCCUUCACUGCCUUAAUAAACUUGCUUUCACUUUACUCUGUGGACUGGCCUGGAAUUCUUUCUUCCACAAGAUCCACGAAUCCUCUUUUGGGGUCUGGAUCAGGACCCUUUUCCGGUAACACAACCACUCCACUAAAAACUCUUUGUCAGUGAUCUCUAUAUUGUUAGUGGUCAGUUCUCAGUCCUCGUCCUCCGGGAACUACAGCAAAAUCGAUAGUCAUUCUUGCUACACAUGCUUUCUUCACUCCCCAUCCAGGACACCAUGUGCUCUCACUUUCCUCUUAUCCCAAAGACCACAUCUUUGGGUCUCGGUUACCAGUCUCUCCUUUUAAAACCGGCAGCCUGGCCGCUUGCCUGUUUUGAUGGGGUGUAGAGAAAAAGAACGAAAGCCCCUUCCUCAAGUUGUAGCUUAACAUCCAGCCAAUCCACAGCACAAGACCCAAGAAGCUAUUAACCACAAGUUCCUGCUUUGGGGGCCUAGGGACUUCCCCGGGCCCCACAUGUGCAGUUAGACUUAUACUUCAACUAUUGUUACCCCUUCCUCAUUUUCACGCUAAAAAUCACACCUAGGGGUAGAGAUUUAAAAUGUGAAUGUUGCAUGCAAUGCAUGAAGAAGCAUGCAAAGCUACUGAGAAGCACUAGACAAACCCCUCCUAUCCAUGCCUGGACCAAUCCCUUCCCUGUGAAACUAACCCACGUGCCACCCCCUGGCGGCGGGGCCCCCCACCGUUUUCCUUUCAUGGUGCUGACUUCCUUGUGCACAAGCUAAAUAAAGAUUUCUCUUUCUCCUCGCUGCUAUGUCUGCUGAUCUCUCUUUAUUUCUAUCCUGGGAGAUUACAAGAUGCCAGGGCACACUGGUAACACUUUGACUCCUUAACAUCGGAGUGCCUUACCUCAGGGCUCAGUCCUUGCACAUCUUUUCUAUCUACAUCCUCAGUGAGCUCAUCCAGUUCCAUUCCUUUAAAUGCCAUCCAUAUGCUGAUGAUCCUAAAAUCUGUAUCUCCCACCAGGACCUCCGCUAAACACUAGAUUCAGCUCUUGCCUUAAUAUUAUUCCCCUAUGGGGUGGACAGGUUGUAAGGUAGACAUAUGAUCCCUGCCUCCUGGUGUUCACAUCCUUGAAUAAUCCUCUUGUCUUGAGGGUGGACAGAGCCUGUGGCUUGCUUUUAAACAACAGAAUAUGGCAGUGGUGAUGGGAUGUCCCUCCCAUGAUUACCUGAUGUUAUAAAAGACUCCAUCUUGCUCUCAGACUUAUUCUCAAGGGUCUCUCAGCUGCUGGCUUUGAAGAGGCGAGGUGCCAUAAUUCCUACAACUUCAAGGAAACAAAUUCUGCCAGGAAUCUGAGGGGGCUUUGAUCCUUCCCCAGUCAAGCCUCCAGAUGAGAAUGCAACCCAGCUGACAACUUAAUUAUAGCCUCGUAAGACCCAAGAAUAAGCCAGCUAAGCUGUGCCUGAACUCCUACCCCACAAAAACUCUGAGAUAAGUGUGUGUUGUUUUAAGCCACUAAGCUUACAGCCACGUGAUCUGACUUAAGCAUUAUUAGAAUUCCAGAAGAAAAAAGGAGAAUGAGGCAGAAAAUCUGAAGAAAUAAUGGCCAAUAAUUCUCCAAGUUAAUGGUAGGCACCAAACAAAAUAUUUAGGAAGCAAUGGAUUCCAAACAAAUAAACAAAACACUUAGUCAGGUCAUAUUCACACUGCUGAUAACAGAAAGCAAGGAGAAACUCUUAAAAGCAGACAGAGGAAAAUGACACAUUACAUCCAGAAGAAUGAAGAUUAGAAUAGCAGACUUCUCAUUGGAAAGAAGAUGGUGGGAGAUAGGAGUCCAGUUUCAUUCUUCUUCAUCUGGAUGUCCAAUUUUCCAAGCACCAUUUAUUGAAGAGGGUGUCCUUUCCCCACUGUGUGUUUUUGGUGCCUUUGUCAGAAAUCAGUUGGCUGUGUGUUCCCAGUGGUCUUUCGCUGGAGGCAUUGGCACAUCCGAAGCUUGAAUUGUCCUGUUCCUUUGUGAACGCUUUCUGGAGCCGUCAGAGGAAGCCAGCCCAUUCCACAGUCUUUGUAAUCCCCAUUUUUGCUGAAGCAACUGCGUGUCUCAGCCAUGUGAUUCCCCAU
rnacentral:lncRNA from 1 species